rnacentral:rRNA from 1 species
ACUCAAUAGAUACCCGGGUAGUCCACGCCGUAAAACGAUGCAUACUAGCUUUUGGGGAGUAUCGACCCUCCCUUGAGGCGAAAGCUAAACGCGUUAAGUAUGCCGCCUGGGGAGUACGAGCGCAAGCUUAAAACUCAAAGGAAUUGACGGGGACCUGCACAAGCGGUGGAGCGUGCGGUUUAAUUCGUCAUUAAGCGGAGAACCUUACCAAGGCUUGACAUCUCUGGAACCCCUGAGAAACCAGGGGGUGCCGAAAGGAGCCAGAUGACAGGUGCUGCACGGUUGUCGUCAGCUCGUGCUGUGAAGUGUCCCGUUCAGUCGGUUAACGAGCGCAACCCUUAUCCUGUGUUUCAUGUGUCACAGGAAACUGCCCAUGUUAAGUGGGAGGAAGGUGAGGAUGACGUCAAAUCAGCGUGGCUCUUACGCCUUGGGCUACACGCGCGCUACAAUGGGGUGUAACAAUGGGUCGCAAACCGCGAGGGGGAGCUAAUCCCACCAAACCACCCCACUUCGGAUAGGAGGCGUGCAAUUACGCCUCCACUGAAGUCGGAA